GGUGUCGUGGUGUAGUUUGUUAUCACGUUAGUCUAACACACUAAACGUCUCCGGUUCGAGUCCAACAUAUUU
rnacentral:tRNA from 1 species